rnacentral:tRNA from 1 species
GUGGGUGUGGCCUAGCUGGUAGGGCGUCAGAUUGUGGCUCUGAAGGUCGUGGGUUCGAGCCCCAUCACUCACCCCA